rnacentral:rRNA from 1 species
UACGUAGGGAGCAAGCGUUGUCCGGAAUCAUUGGGCGUAAAGCGCGCGUAGGUGGCCUCAUAAGUCCGCUGUGAAAGUCAAAGGCUCAACCUUCGAAAGCCGGUGGAUACUGUGAGGCUAGAGUACGGAAGAGGCGAGUGGAAUUCCUGGUGUAGCGGUGGAAUGCGCAGAUAUCAGGAGGAACACCAAUAGCGAAGGCAGCUCGCUGGGACGUUACUGACACUGAGGCGCGAAAGCGUGGGGAGCGAACAGG